GAUGAACGCUGGCGGCGUGCCUAAUACAUGCAAGUCGAGCGAAUGGAUUAAGAGCUUGCUCUUAUGAAGUUAGCGGCGGACGGGUGAGUAACACGUGGGUAACCUGCCCAUAAGACUGGGAUAACUCCGGGAAACCGGGGCUAAUACCGGAUAACAUUUUGAACCGCAUGGUUCGAAAUUGAAAGGCGGCUUCGGCUGUCACUUAUGGAUGUACCCGCAUCGCAUUAGCUAGUUGGUGAGGGAACGGCUCACCAAGGCAACGAUGCGUAGCCGACCUGAGAGGGUGAUCGGCCACACUGGGACUGAGACACGGCCCAGACUCCUACGGGAGGCAGCAGUAGGGAAUCUUCCGCAAUGGACGAAAGUCUGACGGAGCAACGCCGCGUGAGUGAUGAAGGCUUUCGGGUCGUAAAACUCUGUUGUUAGGGAAGAACAAGUGCUAGUUGAAUAAGCUGGCACCUUGACGGUACCUAACCAGAAAGCCACGGCUAACUACGUGCCAGCAGCCGCGGUAA
rnacentral:rRNA from 1 species